rnacentral:lncRNA from 1 species
CCCUGCCGCCUCGGCCUGCGCCCUCUGCUUCGGCACUGACCCCUUCCUUUUUCCAUUCAUCUCUCAGGAAGAAACUUCGGAAUUGCUGAGAUGCAUGCAGUCCCACCCACCCUGUUCCCCAGCAGGCCAGUGGGGGCCGCCGUUGUGUGCGGCCUUUCUCAGCACUGCGUGGGACGGUCGAUCUUUACACCGAAAACCGGAUGAACAAGGGUCACGCAGGGGCACGUGGACGGGAGGCGCCCAGUGCUCUCACGCAGAGGAGAGCUGCAUGGGCCACCAGGGCGAUUUCCUCUUCAUUAGUGGAACCCUUGACUUCCUGCACCCGAAUACAAGCUGCAGGAUGAAGAGCUCUCAUUUGUUCUGGUCCCUGCCAUUUCCCUAAAGCCACACCCAGUCUCUGGCACUACUGUGGAGUUUUCAAUAAACCUUUUGGAAUGAAUGAAUAAAGUGGAUCCCAUAGGAUGGAGUUGGAUCCCAUAGGGGAUUUGGACAUUCAAUAAAAGGGGAGACAAAUGUAUUAUUUUAAAUGGAGGGUAUGUGAAGUUCAACAGGAAGUAAAAGUGUAUCUAGACAAUGGAUAUAAAGAAAAUUCUUCAAGAUACUAUGGUGGGAUACACAUGAAGAAUAAAGGAGAGACAAAGCAAAUGAUGAUUCCAAAGCUCAUUCCUUUGAAGCCUGAUAGAAUGGGGAUUGAGGAAAGGACAGAUAAAAGGAAAUUGAAAAGACAAACUAGUUUUUUAGGUAAUGGUUGAAGUAUCGGGGGUGAUACCUGUGAGCCGUUGUAGAGCCUGGAUUGAAGCGCAUACUCCUCUCUCAACGAGGUGAAUUGAGACUCCCCCGUGUGGAAGAGAUAUUAGUAAUUUGGACCGUGACGGAUUCUCAAAGGGAGAAAGCUCAGGAAAACAAGAACCUUUGAAAAGAGCCCACAGACUUGGGAACUGGGUGGGAUGGAUUCACAGUGGAGGUGGGGAAAAACCGACCAAGGGAGCAAGUCAGGAGAGGUGGCCAUCAGUACCAGGUGCCCCAAAGAAGCCCCAAAACAUGGAGGUCUUUAGGUCUUUAGGUUCAUUCGAUAGAGGGCAAUGACACCUUCAAUAAAAUAAUUUUACAGGACAGUGGGAAAUAUAUUGUCGUGUAUAUGUAUGUAAAUGUAUGUAAAACACUGUUACAUGAACACACA